rnacentral:rRNA from 1 species
GAUGAACGCUGGCGGCGUGCCUAAUACAUGCAAGUCGAGCGAACGGACGAGAAGCUUGCUGCUCUGAUGUUAGCGGCGGACGGGUGAGUAACACGUGUAUAACCUACCUAUAAGACUGGGAUAACUUCGGGAAGCCGGAGCUAAUACCGGAUAAUAUUUUGAACCGCAUGGUUCAAAAGUGAAAGACGGUCUUGCUGUCACUUAUAGAUGGAUCCGCGCUGCAUUAGCUAGUUGGUAAGGUAACGGCUUACCAAGGCAACGAUGCAUAGCCGACCUGAGAGGGUGAUCGGCCACACGGGAGCUGAGACAGGGACCAGACUCCUGCGGGAGGCAGCAGUAGGGAAUCUUCCGCAAUGGGCGAAAGCCUGACGGAGCAACGCCGCGUGAGUGAUGACGGUCUUCGGAUCGUAAAACUCUGUUAUUAGGGGAGAACAUAUGUGUAAGUAACUGUGCACAUCUUGACGGUACCUAAUCAGAAAGCCACGGCUAACUACGUG